GGUUAAUGCUAGCGGUGCGCCUAACACAUGCAAGUCGAGCGGGAUUUGAUUAUAGCUUGCUACAAUUAAUGAGAGCGGCGAACGGGUGAGUAAUAUGUUGGUACAUGCCUCUAAGUCGGGGAUAGCCCACUGAAAAGUGGAAUAAUACCGGAUGGUCUCGAGAGAGUAAAGAUUUAUCGCUUAGAGAGUGGCCUGCAUUUUAUCAGCUAGUUGGUGAGGUAAAAGCUCACCAAGGCAAUGACGGAUAAUUGAUCUGAGAGGAUGAUCAGUCACAACGGAACGGAGACACGGUCCAGACUCCUACGGGAGGCAGCAGUGGGGAAUAUUGGACAAUGGGGGGAACCCUGAUCCAGCCAUGCCGCGUGUGUGAAGAAGGCCUUAUGGUUGUAAAGCACUUUAAGCGAGGAGGAGGCUCUUUUGGUUAAUACCCAAGAUGAGUGGACGUUACUCGCAGAAUAAGCACCGGCUAACUCUGUGCCAGCAGCCGCGGUAA
rnacentral:rRNA from 1 species